UACAGAGGGUGCAAGCGUUAAUCGGAAUUACUGGGCGUAAAGGGCGCGUAGGCGGUUAGGUAAGUCGGAUGUGAAAUCCCCGGGCUCAACCUGGGAAUUGCAUUCGAUACUGCUUAGCUAGAGUGUGGAAGAGGGAAGCGGAAUUUCCGGUGUAGCGGUGAAAUGCGUAGAUAUCGGAAGGAACACCAGUGGCGAAGGCGGCUUCCUGGUCCAACACUGACGCUGAGGCGCGAAAGCGUGGGGAGCGAACAGGAUUAGAAACCCCCGUAGUCC
rnacentral:rRNA from 1 species